rnacentral:rRNA from 1 species
GACGUAGGGCGCGAGCGUUGUCCGGAUUUAUUGGGCGUAAAGAGCUCGUAGGCGGCUUGUCGCGUCGAAUGUGAAAUCCCGAGGCUCAACUUCGGGCUUGCAUUCGAUACGGGCAGGCUAGAGUUCGGUAGGGGAGACUGGAAUUCCUGGUGUAGCGGUGAAAUUCGUAGAUAUUCGGAAGAACACCAGUGGCGAAGGCGGCCAACUGGUCCGGCACUGACGCUGAGGUGCGAAAGCGUGGGGAGCAAACAGG